AGUAAGCUGCGUGAGGGAUAGCAGUGGAGCUCUUUUUAUAAUUAGCGAUUUUUUUCGCUAAUUAUAAAAAAACGGGAACGAAUAGCCCGACCCGCU
rnacentral:sRNA from 1 species